rnacentral:rRNA from 1 species
UACGUAGGGGGCAAGCGUUGUCCGGAUUUACUGGGCGUAAAGCGCCUGUAGGCGGCCUGUCAAGUCCGGCCUGAAAGCCCCCCGCUCAACGGGGGAGGGUGGCUGGAAACUGGCAGGCUUGAGGGCGAGAGAGGAGGGUGGAAUUCCUGGUGUAGCGGUGAAAUGCGCAGAUAUCAGGAAGAACACCCGUGGCGAAGGCGGUUCUCUGGAACGCAACUGACGCUGAGACGCGAAAGCGUGGGGAGCAAACAGG